AAAUUUAUAUUUAUUAGUUUAUUUAAUAAUUGUUUAUUUUUAAUAAAAAUAAUUUUAACAAAAAAUUUUUUGUAUAUUUUAUAGAUCAAAUAAUUUAGAUUAUAGUGAAUACGUAUUGAAAAAGAGGAUUGAAAUAGUUAUGAAAAUUAAUUUAUUAAAAAGUUAUAUUAAAUUUAUGUACCUUUUGUAUCAGGGUUUAUUAAAUAAUAUUUAUUUAUAUAUAAAUUUCUCGAUUUGGAGGGAUCUAAUAAAUUAUUUUAGUUAACGUGGUAAAGUUAUUUUAAAUAUUUUAUUAGUAAUGAAAUGUUAUUCGUUCUCUAAUAUAUCUAGUUUUUUAAGAAAUAAAUUUAAUUUAUAUAUUAUUAAUAAAAAUAACUAAAUUUUUAGUUAGUUUUUUUUUAAUAUAAAUAUUUUAAGGGAUAAGCUUUAAUUUAUAUUUUAUAAUUAAAUAUAGUAUUGGUUGAAUUGUAAAUUUAGAAAUAGUUAUCAAUAGAAAUUUUGUUUUACUUUAUUAUUUAUAAAAUAUAUUAUUUUAUUUAAUUUAAAUUUUUUAUUAAAAUAAUUCAUUUAAUUAUUUUAUUUAUGUAAUAAUGAUAAAAUUAGUAUAUAAAUUUGUUUAAAAUUAUUUUUUAAUAAAGAUUAAUUUAAGGAAUUCGGCAAAUAAAAUACUCACCUGUUUAACAAAAACAUGUCUUUUUGAUUAUAAUAUAAAGUCUAACCUGCCCACUGAAUUAUUUUAAAGGGCCGCGGUAUUUUGACUGUGCAAAGGUAGCAUAAUAAUUAGUCUUUUAAUUGAAGGCUUGUAUGAAUGGUUGGAUGAAGUAUUAACUGUCUCAGUUUAAUAAAUAGUAGAAUUUAAUUUUUAAGUUAAAAAGCUUAAAUUUAAUUAAAGGACGAGAAGACCCUAUAGAUCUUUAUUAUUAUGUAUUUAUUUAAUUUAUAGAUAUAUUUUAUUUAUUAAGUAUAUAAUUAUUGUGUUGGGGUGAUUAAAAAAUUUAAUAAACUUUUUUUUUAUUUAAACAUAGAUUUAUGAAUAAAUGAUCCAUUAUUAUUGAUUAUAAGAUUAAGUUACCUUAGGGAUAACAGCGUAAUUUUUUUAGAGAGUUCUAAUCGAUAAAAAAGAUUGCGACCUCGAUGUUGAAUUAAAGGAAAUUUUUAGGUGCAAAAGUUUAAAUUUUUGGUCUGUUCGACCAUUAGAUCUUUACAUGAUUUGAGUUCAAACCGGCGUGAGCCAGGUUGGUUUCUAUCCUUAAUUAAUACAAAUAUUUUAGUACGAAAGGACCAAAUAUUUAAAAUAUUUUUUAUUUAUUGAAUUAUAUUAAU
rnacentral:rRNA from 1 species